rnacentral:rRNA from 1 species
CCUACGGGAGGCUGCAGUGGGGAAUAUUGGACAAUGGGGGGAACCCUGAUCCAGCCAUGCCGCGUGUGUGAAGAAGGCCUGCGGGUUGUAAAGCCCUUUCGGUGGGGAAGAAAAGUCUCGUUCUAACACAACGGGAUCUUGACGUGACCCAUAGAAGAAGCACCGGCUAACUCUGUGCCAGCAGCCGCGGUAAUACAGAGGGUGCGAGCGUUAAUCGGAAUUACUGGGCGUAAAGCGCGCGUAGGCGGCUUUGCAAGUCGGGUGUGAAAUCCCCAGGCUCAACCUGGGAACUGCACUCGAGACUGCAUUGCUAGAGUAUGGGAGAGGGAAGUGGAAUUUCAGGUGUAGCGGUGAAAUGCGUAGAUAUCUGAAGGAACAUCAGUGGCGAAAGCGACUUCCUGGACCAAUACUGACGCUCAUGUGCGAAAGCGUGGGGAGCAAACAGGAUUAGAUACCCGAGUAGUC